GACCACCAGAUUACUGAUCGGUGCUUUCAUGUCCAGUCUCCUGGUGAGCCAUUUCUAUAAAAAUUCCUGGAAUACAACACUAUCCAUGCUCACCCUGUCAGUCUGUGGGAUGCUGUAAAGCCCGGGACAGAUGCCCCCACUGAAUCGACCCCCACCAAGUAUACCUUCAGACUGCCACUCCAGAGGUCAAGGAUGUUUUCUAUCUGGUGAAAGUUUUCAUCUGAAAGGGGUUUGCCAAACACUUCCCAGGCCCUGGUGAGCCAAUAUCUCUCAGUGAACCUUCCACUUAUGGAUGCAGUCUCAGUGUCGGCAGCAUGGUCUUCAAACCAAAGUGAAAUCGGGAGUGGCCCUAAUUCCUGCAGUUGGAAGAAAUGGCAGGAGGAGAAUGACUACUGAAGGAAAGAGGAAAACGUAUGGACCAUAACCAUACAGUGGUCUCGUAAAGUAUGUAAAAGGACCUGGGAUCAUUAUCGCUGAAUUUUACUCUUCCAAUUAACUGAAACACCUACUCUCAGGUAUCAAGUUUUUAGUGGUGUAUACUUUUUUUAGUGUUUUCUCUCUCUAAUUUGCCUUAUUUGCCAAGGGGUCACGUGUUGUGACA